UGUUAAAAAUUUCAUCCAUUUGUACUAUUAAAAACUGGUGUGACUUACAAAAUAACUAGACAGUGCCAUGUAUCUCAUGCCGACGUAUAAAGACCCAUAUUUAACGAUAGAAAUGAAUGAAAUUUUUAAUA
rfam:Gossypium hirsutum cultivar TM-1 chromosome 8, whole genome shotgun sequence